UACGUAGGGCGCGAGCGUUGUCCGGAUUUAUUGGGCGUAAAGAGCUCGUAGGCGGCUUGUUGCGUCGACUGUGAAAACCCGCGGCUUAACUGCGGGCUUGCAGUUGAUACGGGCAGGCUAGAGUUCGGUAGGGGAGACUGGAAUUCCUGGUGUAGCGGUGAAAUGCGUAGAGAUCGGGAGGAACACCAGUGGCGAAGGCGGCCUUCUGGACCAGCACUGACACUCAAGCACGAAAGCGUGGGGAGCAAACAGG
rnacentral:rRNA from 1 species